UUACAUGCGCAGUGGCAAUAUGGUAGUCUGUGAGGUUGAACUGAGGCACGAUCAUUACUAGUUGAAAACUUGUUUCUCCAAGUGA
ensembl:snRNA U4 U4 spliceosomal RNA